CUCCGUCGUAAGCGAACGCAUCUCUCGGUGCUUGUACUCAUAAGAAUAUAGAACUUGCUUUGAAGCAGACCCUGCAUGAUUUCAGGUUCUGUUAGGUCGGGCCUCCUCUGUACGAGGUUACACGGACUGGAAGCGCAGACUGUUUCGUAACUUCCCGCAAGAGAGCUUCGACAAAGUAAACAACCGGCACCAGUGAAAUCAGCUGCCACUGCAUUGAAAAUUUCCUAGCCGAAAUUCUUGAGAUUCGUCCCUUAAGAGGAAAGAUUCAAGGAACGGUAACCGGAAACACUAGUUUGCUUAAAUCUGGCACUGAGAGUGAGUUCAUUCAAAAUCGACGGAACCUCAAAAUCCUUUCAUGAUUUUGUGAUUGAUCCGCCACUGUUGCGGUGCGCUGUCGGUUUUCAAGGUUCGUAGGGUCAAACAAGAGUUAACUGCUUUGUCAUAACAAGAGGAGACUGGCUGCUGCUUAGAAUUUCACAUCACGAUCUCUAUCCGCCACUGAAAUAACUCAUAUAACUGUACAGAGAAUUCCAUCACACCGGCUGUCAUUCAAUUAUAUUAGAGUCAAACGAUUGAUCGAUAAGCUAAUUGAUAACAAGACUAAGGGAUCACGGUAUAGAGGGUGUGAGAGAGAAGGAAAGAAAGAAUAAAGGAAAAGAAAACAAAACGUUGUUGGAAGAAUUAAUAGCUCACUUUCCUUUAAUAUGAUCCUGAUACACAGACCCAUAGCCAGACAGACACCCAGACAGCAAGAUGAUCUCAUAAUCCUCUAUUUCUAAAAAAAGGGGGGGGGGGGGACAGACACACAGAAGUUAAUCUCGUAAGCCUCAUUUUACUUUUGGAGAAUAAGUAAAGUAGGAUUAGAAUGGGUUGAGAACAGGUGAGGAAAUAACGAAAAGGAGAAAAAGAAAGUACACACAGACGAAACGAGGAAGAAAGAAAAUCGAAGACAAGAGGUAGAAGGAAUCUGGAAAUAAAAAGAAAAUUACUAAGAGACGGAGAAGUAAAUAGUAAGUGAAAUUGUUAUUGAUUAAUUCAGCACCACGCCAUGAAGACGUACUGGGUGAAUGGAGGUAUAGGUCCACAAUUAUUGACCGCGUAUCUAGAUGGAGGCUAGUGAUCAGCCCGAGAGAGAAAAAUCUCUUGACACUACCGGGAAUUGAACCACCGCCGUCCAACCGUAGCCCGUCUCGAUAUAGAAUGAAAAGGACAGAAAUAAACAAGACAUGAAAAAUGAAAAUAAAGCAGGAACGAAAGAAAGGAGUGAAACCACAAAGGAAUAGAAGAGAGAGACGAGAUAGAAACAG